rnacentral:rRNA from 1 species
CCUACGGGUGGCAGCAGUGAGGAAUAUUGGUCAAUGGGCGCGAGUCUGAACCAGCCAAGUAGCGUGAAGGAUGACUGCCCUAUGGGUUGUAAACUUCUUUUAUAAAGGAAUAAAACGAGGCACGUGUUCCUUUUUGCAUGUACUUUAUGAAUAAGGAUCGGCUAACUCCGUGCCAGCACCCGCGGUAAUACGGAGGAUCCGAGCGUUUGCAGGAUUUAUUGGGUUUAAGGGGAGCGUAGAUGGGUUGUUAAGUCAGUGGUGAAAGUUUGCGGCUCAACCGGAAAAUUGCAAUUGAGACUGGCAGUCUUGAGUACAGGUGAGGUAGGCGGAAUUCGUGGUGUAGCGGUGAAAUGCUUAGAUAUCACGAAGAACCCCGAUUGCGAAGGCAGCUUACUAAACUGUGACUGACAUUGAGGCGCGAAAGUGUGGGUAGCAAACAGGAUUAGAUACCCCUGUAGUC